UCUAAUUAUAAAUUUUAAAAUUAAAGUAGUAUUAGUUAAGAUCUUGAAAUUUAAAGAUUUUGGCGGUAUUUUAGUCUUUUCAGAGGAACCUGUUCUGUAAAUGAUAAUCCACGAUAAUAUAAAUCUUAUUUUUUAAUUUACAUAUCGUCGUAAUUUGAAUAUUUUAAAAGAAAUAAUAUUCAAUUAAUUUAAAUUAAUUAUAAAUCAGAUCAAGGUGUAGUUUAUAAUAAGAAAGAAAUGGGUUACAAUAAAUUUAUUUAUGGAAUUAAUUUUAAAAAAAUUAAUGAAAUUGGAUUUGAUAGUAAUUAUUUAUAUUUUUUUAUAAUGAUUAAGCUCUAAAAUAUGU
rnacentral:rRNA from 1 species